CCUACGGGGGGCAGCAGUGGGGAAUAUUGGACAAUGGGGGGAACCCUGAUCCAGCCAUGCCGCGUAUGUGAAGAAGGCCCUCGGGUUGUAAAGCACUUUCAGUGAGGAAGAACGCCUGGUGGUUAAUACCCAUCAGGAAAGACAUCACUCACAGAAGAAGCACCGGCUAACUCCGUGCCAGCAGCCGCGGUAAUACGGAGGGUGCGAGCGUUAAUCGGAAUUACUGGGCGUAAAGCGCGCGUAGGUGGCUUGAUAAGCCGGUUGUGAAAGCCCCGGGCUCAACCUGGGAACGGCAUCCGGAACUGUCAAGCUAGAGUGCAGGAGAGGAAGGUAGAAUUCCCGGUGUAGCGGUGAAAUGCGUAGAGAUCGGGAGGAAUACCAGUGGCGAAGGCGGCCUUCUGGACUGACACUGACACUGAGGUGCGAAAGCGUGGGUAGCAAACAGGAUUAGAUACCCGAGUAGUC
rnacentral:rRNA from 1 species